ACUCAUGUCCUACUAUAGGUCUCUGUCUUGUUGAGAUGGAGUAUCUAUAGGACAACACUCAUGUCCUACUAUAGGUCUUGUUGAGAUGGAGUAUCUAUAGGACAAAACUCAUGUCCUACUAUAGGUCUCUGUCUUGUUGAGGUGGAGUAUCUAUAGGACAAAACUCAUGUCCUACUAUAGGUCUCUGUCUUGUUGAGAUGGAGUAUCUAUAGGACAAAACUCAUGUCCUACUAUAGGUCUUGUUGAGAUGGAGUAUCUAUAGGACAAAACUCAUGUCCUACUAUAGGUCUCUGUCUUGUUGAGGUGGAGUAUCUAUAGGACAAAACUCAUGUCCUACUAUAGGUCUUGUUGAGAUGGAGUAUCUAUAGGACAAAACUCAUGUCCUACUAUAGGUCUCUGUCUUGUUGAGAUGGAGUAUCUAUAGGACAAAACUCAUGUCCUACUAUAGGUCUUGUUGAGAUGGAGUAUCUAUAGGACAAAACUCAUGUCCCAGUAGUAGUUUGACAUUUGAACUGUGCCUUCCCCUUCCCGCCUUGUAUUUAGUGUGAGAUGCAAUCAUCCAGUCAACUAGGGGCACUAUUUUGUCUGUCCUGCCGACAGCUGCCACUGGCUGCUGUGUUAACCCUGUUCUCUUCUCCCUCCUUUCCCCUAUCUCUCUGAUCUCUUCUCCUCCCCCCUUCUCCCUCCCUCUCU